UGUGUGUUAUGAAAGCAUGUGCUGUCCUCUUCGUGCUGUGAGGUGUGAGUAAAAAAGACCAUGAGUAGCAGUUACUGGUGGAGGUCUGCACCACUGAGUGCAAAUUUGGGCCUCUGCCUGCUGAAAAUAUGAAAUGAACCAGUGCAGCUUCAGUCUUCUGCUAGGAUGAUACAUCUGACUGAAGAACCUUUGCUGUUUUAUCACAGACCUGAUGAAGUCUUGGUUAGAUUAGACAAAGUUGUGAAGUUUUCUGAGACGUUGAUGCUACAUAACACACGAAAGUACUGUGUGGGACCAGCAGAAGGAACUCCUUUUUGUCUCUCAGUGAGUACUGUGUGGGACCAGCAGAAGGAACUCCUUUUUGUCUCUCAGUAUGAGAACCUGUGAUUUUGCUCCCAAGUCUGGCUUGUACAACAACUGCACCUUAGCAGAGUCGACUCUUUCUCAAGCCUUUCAUAUCCACACAAGACCUACAAUGGCUGGCUUUCUUCAGAUUUCCUAGUCCACAGAGGAAGGACCAGAUCUUUAUGUGGUAUACUGACAAAGAAGAAAAAAGAUAUUUGUAACUGAAAGACAGGACCAUCUGCACAACAUCACCUGCAGAUAAAAUGGGAUGUUCUAUUUUAAAAGUUGCUACAGAUGUUUUUAAUGAACUCUGUCAAAUUAAAAAUAACACUGGAUGUCUUUUAAAGAAAUGAGAUAUUACCCUUAUAUAUUUUUAAAGGAUUUGUAUAAAUAAAU